rnacentral:rRNA from 1 species
UACGUAGGGUGCAAGCGUUAAUCGGAAUACUGGGCGUAAAGCGUGCGCAGGCGGUUUUGUAAGUCUGUCGUGAAAUCCCCGGGCUCAACCUGGGAAUUGCGAUGGAGACUGCAAGGCUAGAAUCUGGCAGAGGGGGGUAGAAUUCCACGUGUAGCAGUGAAAUGCGUAGAGAUGUGGAGGAACACCGAUGGCGAAGGCAGCCCCCUGGGUCAAGAUUGACGCUCAUGCACGAAAGCGUGGGGAGCAAACGAGG